rnacentral:ncRNA from 2 species
AGUUGCCACUAGGGGUGCCUUCGGGCUGAGAGGCUUCAUGCCAACCCUUUGCACCUGACCUGGAUAAUGCCAGCGGAGGGAAGUGGUCGGUAUAUUUG